UUCGGCAGGAGAUUUCCGUGAAAAGAUAUAUCUAGAUUUAUUAGUGUAUCUUGGUCAUUUGUCUAGGUAUUUUUUAGGCUUUUUAAUGGAUUGGUAUGAGUAGAACAGAUUUUUAUGAGAAGGUUGUUCUGAAUUAUAAUUUUGUUUUUCUAUUUCCAAAAUACCGCAUCAACACUUAUUGUCCAGCUUUGCUUCCAUUUUAAACUUUUGCCUACUUUUACACAACGGUAAUGACAUAGUAAGUUAUGUAGAUCAAUACUUCCUUCCGCUUUUUAUAAUCAACCCAUAGUCUAUAUAUUGUAUCGUCGGGUUCUCAUAAAAUUGUAUUUGCGCUUUUUCUAAAAGCAAAGAUCUUUUAAGUUUAACGAUUGGAUUUAUAAUCAGUUUCUUAAAAAACCAGAUGUAAACGAUUAAUCUCAAAAGCGGUGAUUUGAUUUUUCAUACAAAAGAAUAGAAAUUACUUUAAUUACAAAUUUAAGAAAUUCCACCUUUUUCUAUUAUUUGCCGUUCUUCCUUUUUCCUGAGCGACUAUUAUACUUAUAAAAAUUUUAAAGAAAAGGUUAUAAGAUGGUGGCCAGCUCUUUUACAUUAACAUGGUAAUGAUGAAUUCAUCUGCAUUCUUAAAUAAUAGAAUAUAGAUGGAAGCAUAUGAAAACAAUCCAAUUUUUUGAUCUACUAGCUAAAGAAUUUAUACUUAUUUUCGCAACGUUGCUUAUUAAAAAAAGUCAAGAGUUAUACAAAUGUAUAUGCGAAUAUAAAACAUAUUACUUCUAUAUGAUUUCUGACUAGAUAAUGUUGGCUGAAAUUUUUAAGAUGAAUUGGAAUAAUUGCUAAAAAUAUGAGUAGGUAAAGACGUAAUGGCGAUGACCCUGACACUUCUAAAGCAGGGACAAGUCAAUUGAUGGUUUGGGGUCCUGGGCACCAGUACGAACCGUCUAAGUGACUUAUCGAAGAAUGCUUACAGAAACUUUGUAGCCUUUGCUCAAAUUCACAUUUAUUUGUCGAGAGAAUUGAGUUUCUCGGCAAACCCCAAACUCACGAUCAACACAUACCAAUGCAAUUUUUACGGAUUUACAAACCAAACUUCUUUGUUUUGUUUGAAGCCAAUGUCUAUUUUGCAAAAUAUAAACUCAGAAGCUCUAAUUAUACCAACGUUGAGCUCAAGACAGAUUGAAUGCAAAAUAACCAGUAUGAUGCAACAUCAAAACGCACUGGCUGUUUCUCUCAAAUACCUGAUAAUUGUAUUAUGAUAUAAAAUUUAAAAUCAUACCUGAUAGUUAAAAUUGAAAUAUUGUAGUAGAAUUUAAAAAAUCAAGUUAGGUUGUUUAGACACCAGUAAUUUUAUGCUUAUAUAUUAUGACAUCGUAACUAGACCGUAGAUGAGUGACUCCUGUUCCACAUGCUGAGUUGCAGUUAUGUAUUAAAAAAGACAACCGAUGAUCAUGAUAAACUGUUAAAGCACCUACAUCUGUGUUUGAUUCGUAAUAUUCCAUCAAUAAAGAAUAGAUAUAAAAGGAAGAUUGGGCAAAGUAAUUUGGUAAAGGAUGCCU
rnacentral:lncRNA from 1 species